rnacentral:rRNA from 1 species
UACGAAGGGGGCUAGCGUUGCUCGGAAUGACUGGGCGUAAAGGGCGCGUAGGCGGUUUGCACAGUCAGGCGUGAAAUUCCCGGGCUCAACCUGGGGGCUGCGCUUGAUACUGAUUGGCUUGAAUGCGGGAGAGGAUAGUGGAAUUCCCAGUGUAGAGGUGAAAUUCGUAGAUAUUGGGAAGAACACCAGUGGCGAAGGCGGCUAUCUGGCCCGUAAUUGACGCUGAGGCGCGAAAGCUAGGGGAGCAAACGGG